rnacentral:rRNA from 1 species
AUACUGCCGUUAAAGCUCGAAGGUGCGGGUAUAGACCAGGAUAAGAUACCCUGUUAGUCGGCAAGUUAACCGAUGGAUGCCCGCUGUUUGCGAUAUAUAGUAAGCGUCCAAGAGAAAUCGUUAAGCAUCCCACCUGGGGAGUACGCCGGCAACGGUGAAACUCAAAGGAAUUGACGGGGGCCCGCACAAGCGGAGGAACAUGUGGUUUAAUUCGAUGAUACGCGAGGAACCUUACCCGGGCUUGAAUUGCAGCAGAACGAUUGAGAGAUCAUGAGGUCCUUCGGGACUGCUGUGGAGGUGCUGCAUGGUUGUCGUCAGCUCGUGCCGUGAGGUGUCGGCUUAAGUGCCAUAACGAGCGCAACCCCUCUCUUCAGUUGCCAUCAGGUAGAGCUGGGCACUCUGGAGACACUGCCACCGCAAGGUGUGAGGAAGGUGGGGAUGACGUCAAAUCAGCACGGCCUGACGUCCGGGGGCUACACGCGUGUUACAAUGGGUGGUACAGAGCGUCGGUGAACUGCGACGUCCAUCGAAUCACUAAAUCCCUUCUCAGUUCGGAGGCGGAGUCUGCAACCCGGCCCGAGAAGCUGGAUCGCUAGUAAU